GCCGGAAUGGUGGAAUUGGUAGACGCAGCGGACUCAAAAUCCGUCGCCCGCAAGGGCUUGGGGGUUCGACUCCCCCUUCCGGCACCA
rnacentral:tRNA from 1 species